rnacentral:lncRNA from 10 species
GCCGGUGUGUGCUGGGUGCCGAGAAGAGACAGCGCCGCCGGCCGUGGGGAGCGGACGCAGUGAUUUGCUCCCCCUCGUGCAGCAACCCCCACACCCAGCACCAGGAGCCUGUUCCUCUCACGCCCUCACCUGGCUGAGCCGCAGUAGUUCUUCAGUGGCAAGCUUUAUGUCCUGACCCAGCUAAAGCUGCCAGUUGAAGAACUGUUGCCCUCUGCCCCUGGCUUCGAGGAGGAGGAGGAGCUGCUUUCCCCAUCAUCUGGAAGGUGACAGAAAUGGGCUGGGAAGGUCCGAACAGCAGGGUGGAUGAUACGUUUUGGGCAAGUUGGAGAGCCUUUGCCCAGAUUGGCCCAGCAAGGAGCGGUUUUAGAUUAGAGACACUGGCUGGAUUGAGGAGUAGAAGGCUCAAACAACCCAAGGUGGUAUGUGAUCCCCAGCUCAGGCCUGUGCAGACAGGAAAUUCUCCCCUGCAGCAAGUAGGGGAGGUGGGUUGUGGGAUGUGACCUCCUUCCAGAUAUCAGGCAGUGAGUGUAAACCUGCCACCUCCAGCCCUGAUCCAUUCUCACCUAGCGGCUACAGGAAGCUGUGUCUGUUCGAUUUGGUGGGAGGAGAUGUGCAGGGAGCUGUAUCUUGUCCUCCGCUUGUGAAAAACUCAAGGAUGUGGAGAAGAGUAGACCGUGGAACCCUGCUCUUCUGCAGCCAAGCUGAGGGGCAGGAUGCGUGUGGGACAGUGGUAGAGAAGCAGGGGAUAGACUCAUAGGCUGCAACAAAGGUGACUCUGUCCCUGGACACUGCCUCCGUACUUUCUCCUUGCUUCACUGGCCACAGCAUCUCCCUCCAGCCCUCGCUAUGUGCCUCUGCCAUCUUCACCCAUCAUGGAGCAGAGGUGAGGAGAGGCAGCCUGGGAAUAUGGAGACCAGUGAAGGACCAGGCCUGGAGAGCACAGGGUCCUACCUGGGCAUCCAGCAGAGGAGCCCCUAAAGGCCAGGAGCACCCCAAGAGGAGGGAGGGCAGCCAGCCUCCAUUGACGGCGAGCCUCCAGCCCUCUCCUACUUUGAUCACCAUUUCUCUCCAGGCUUUCUGCCUCCGAGAUGUGGCACCAUAGUGCGGUGCCCUGUGGCUUCACCGCCCUACUUCCACCUCCGCCCAGCCUGUAAUGUUUAUAUAAGCAGCCUCAAGGACCAAGAACCAUCUGCGAAAGGACACACACAGGAAAUUCAUAAAAGAAAUCUGAAUGGAUAAAACCAUGAAAAAAAGUAUGCUUCAUUAGUAAUUAAAGAAAGGCAAAUAGAGCUGGAAGCAUUUUUCCCUUAGCAAACCAUAACAGAAAAAAAUAAGACCCAAUAUUGGCAAAGAGACUACUGAAAAAACAUUCCCAUACAUUGCGUGUGGGAGUAUACAUCGGUGCAGGCUUCCUGGAUGACAGUUGGGUGAUAUGUGUCAUGUGGCCUAAAAGCCUCCAUGUCAUUUGACCUACGAAUUCUAUCUUUGGGAAUUUAUCCUAAGAAAAUACUUAAGGAUUUAGUUAGUGAUAAGAUGUUCAUCCCAGCAUUGCAAUGGAGAAAAAUGGGAAGCAAUGGUUUGGUUGGGAAUUUAUUCCUUUUCUGCUGUAACGAAAGUUUGCAAUAGGGGAUUGCUUAAGUAAAUUAUUGUAUCUCCAUCCAGAUGGUGGAGUACCGCGCAGACAUUAAAAGUCAUGUAAAAGAACAUCUGACUGAAAGAAAAAUGCUCCUUGAAUAUUAAAAGGUUGUAAAAAUAGUGCAUGUUAUGUGAUUUCAAUUUUGUUUUUUAAAAUAUGGGUGUAUGCUUGUAUACGUAGAGCAGAUAAAAAAGACGGAAGGCAUACUAAAAAAUGUUGAGUGGUUAUCUUUGUAUGGUGGAACAAAGUCACUGUAAUUUUCAUCUUUGGUUUUUCUGUAAUUUCCAAAUUUUCCACAUUUUGUAUUUCAUAUAAUAUAAUUUAAGAGA